UGCCUCAGUAACGGCGAGUGAAGCGGCAACAGCUCAAAUUUGAAAUCUGGCCGCAAGGUCCGAGUUGUAAUUUGCAGAGGAUGCUUUUGGCGAGGUGCCUUCCGAGUUCCCUGGAACGGGACGCCAUAGAGGGUGAGAGCCCCGUACGGUAGGACCACCGAGCCUUUGUAAAGCUCCUUCGACGAGUCGAGUAGUUUGGGAAUGCUGCUCUAAAUGGGAGGUGUACGUCUUCUAAAGCUAAAUACCGGCCAGAGACCGAUAGCGCACAAGUAGAGUGAU
rnacentral:rRNA from 1 species